GAAAAUAAAAAAGGGAUAAAUAAGUAAAUAGAAAAAUAAAAAAACAAUAAACAAUAAAAAUAAAUACGUAAAAAAAUAUAGACCAUUGGAUCUGAAUACCAAAGAGAGUCAAGAUUCCCUCUCUAGCAUAUGAUCAAUUGAUCAUUAGGGGGUCAACUAAUCCAAUGGAUGGGAGCUAUGAUAGGCGCGUGUGUAUGGCCAUGGUCAAAGUUGGACAAAGGACGGGCUGUCAGCAAGCCACAUGGAUCUCACUAGGAGACGCACAGAGGGAGUAUAAAAUUGAACUCUCUUCAGAUUUCUCUCAUUUUCCC
rnacentral:lncRNA from 1 species